rnacentral:misc_RNA from 1 species
GUGAAUCAUCAAAUUUUUGAACGCAGAUUGCACUCCCUGGUAUUCCGGAGAGUAUGCCUGUUCGAGGGUCAGUUUACAUAAAAAUCGGUGUGGUUGCUGCCUUUCGUGGUGAUGCACCGGAUCUGGGUCGUCUUGCCUUGGGUUAAGUGACCUAAAAUUCUGCAUGAUAUUUUUCGCACGCAUUUAAAUGAUUUUACGCACGUUUGCGACAUCGCAUACUUGGUG